UAAGAGGUCCCGCCUGCCCUGUGACCACAAGUUUAACGGCCGCGGUAUUUUGACCGUGCAAAGGUAGCGCAAUCACUUGUCUUUUAAAUGAAGACCUGUAUGAAUGGCAUGACGAGGGCUUAACUGUCUCUUCUUUCCAGUCAAUGAAACUGAUCUCCCCGUGCAGAAGCGGGGAUAUCCCCAUAAGACGAGAAGACCCUAUGGAGCUUUAGACAUAGGACAGACCAUGUUAAUCACCUCUAAUUAAAGAACAAAACUAAUUGGUACCUGCUCUAAUGUCUUUGGUUGGGGCGACCGCGGGGAAACAAAAAACCCCCAUGUGGACUGAAGAGACCCUUCUUCACAGUCAAGAGCCACAGCUCUAAACAACAGAAUUUCUGACCAACAAGAUCCGGCAAAGCCGAUCAACGGACCGAGUUACCCUAGGGAUAACAGCGCAAUCUCCUUCUAGAGCCCAUAUCGACAAGGAGGUUUACGACCUCGAUGUUGGAUCAGGACAUCCUAAUGGUGCAGCCGCUAUUAAGGGUUCGUUUGUUCAACGAUUAAAGUCC
rnacentral:rRNA from 1 species